AGAUUCUUCAGAUUCGAUAGAUCCUCCAUCGAGCAAAGUGAUGAGCAAUAUUGCAAAGAUAAGGAGGAUAAACUUGAGGGAAGCCUCGGGAGGCGACGCAGAUUACGGCAGUGUAAGCUGCUGGAGUUGAGGAGGGAGGGUAAGGUCUGUCGGUGAGGUGGUCACAAAAUGACAGCGCAGGCUCAGAUACUCCAGCUUGCUCAAGUUCCCAAUCCACUGUGGUAUCGGAUAUUCUUCCACAGGCCCAUCAGACUCCCCAUCACAAUCACAAAACGAAAACC